GAGGUGGCAAGCGUUGUCCGGAAUUAUUGGGGCGUAAAGCGCGCGCAGGCGGUUCUUUAAGUCUGAUGUGAAAGCCCACGGGCUCAACCGUGGAGGGUCAUUGGAAACUGGAGAACUUGAGUACAGAAGAGGAAAGCGGAAUUCCACGUGUAGCGGUGAAAUGCGUAGAGAUGUGGAGGAACACCAGUGGCGAAGGCGGCUUUCUGGUCUGUAACUGACGCUGAGGCGCGAAAGCGUGGGGAGCAAACAGGAUUAGAUACCCUGGUAGUCCACGCCGUAAACGAUGAGUGCUAAGUGUUAGGGGGUUUCCGCCCCUUAGUGCUGCAGCUAACGCAUUAAGCACUCCGCCUGGGGAGUACGGCCGCAAAGGCUGA
rnacentral:rRNA from 1 species